GACGAACCGUACGAACGUUAUUCGGAAUUCCUGGGCUUAAAGGGUGCGUAGGCGGCGCAGUAAGUUGGGUGUGAAAUCCCUCGGCUUAACCGAGGAAUUGCGCCCAAAACUACUGUGCUCGAGGGAGAUAGAGGUGAGCGGAACUUAGGGUGGAGCGGUGAAAUGCGUUGAUAUCCUAAGGAACACCGGUGGCGAAAGCGGCUCACUGGAUCUCUUCUGACGCUGAGGCACGAAAGCUAGGGUAGCAAACGGG
rnacentral:rRNA from 1 species